AGUGUGAAAUGGAUAAUCGCGAUUUAUCGAGGAAAGUCCGGACUCCACAGAGCAAAGAGCUGGGUAACUCCCAGGCAAGUAAUUGACGGAUAGUGCAACAGAAAACAAACCGCUUAUGAAAAUAAGUAAGGGUGAAAAGGUGGUGUAAGAGACCACCAGUAAUUUGAGUAAUCAGAUUAGCUUGUAAACCCCUCUUGGAGCAAUACUAAGAAGCAAUUAGCCUGCUCGGUUAAUAAUUGUGGGUAAGUAGCUAGAUGUAUUUGGUAACAAGUACACAAGAUGGAUGAUUAUCAUACGUUUUUCGUAUACAGAAUCCGGCUUAUAGUUUCACAAAAACU
rnacentral:RNase_P_RNA from 2 species